GUUUUAACCAUCACUUUUAUUAUUUUAUGACAUAGAUCUGGUAUUGGGUACCUCGAGCUCCAUUGUCUCAGCACUUAAUGGGUUGCAAGCCAUUAGCAGAGUUUGAUUUUCUUGUGGCAGUCUUGUUACCACAACCCAGUCUUACCCCAGCCAUUGUCUUGCACUUUUUUCCAAGAGACACUGUUCAAG